rnacentral:lncRNA from 1 species
AAGGUUUGUAUAACCCUUCAGAGCAGACCCUUCCAACUUGAAUACCUAGAGACAAGGUAUUUCAAGACCUUCCUGGAUCUUUUUGUCCCCUGACCCCUUUUUCUCUUGCACUCUGAUACUUUUAUUCUUCUUUCAGGAAAUACUGGUCAUGUCCCAUUGAGCUGAUUUCAUGACUGAAUGUUUCAAAAAUACUAUGUAGGCCCCACACCCAACAUUAGGCUCGAACUCAGGACCCCGAGAUCAAGAGUCACGUGCUCCACUGACUGAGCCAGCCAGGCACCCUUCCAUGUACUUUCACAUAGACUGUUUUAUUGGUUUCUCACAGUAACUCACAUGCUGUUAAAAAGGAAGAUAUUACUGUCAUUUUGCAUGUGAUAAAACUGGGUGGUAUACAGAGGACUACACUUGUUUUCUCCACCUUGGCUGUAAAUUAGAAUAACUCAGGGAACUUUAAAAAUAUGGCCAGUGCCUGUGCUCCAGAGAUUCUGAUCCAAAUGGUCUAUACGGAAACUGAACAUCAGUGUUUCCCAUAACGGCCUCAGGCGGGUCCAGUGUGCAGUUAGGGUUCAGAGGCACUGGGUUACACAGU